GGGGCUAUAGCUCAGCUGGGAGAGCGCCUGGAUCGCACCCAGGAGGUCGCCGGUUCGAGCCCGGCUAGCUCCACCA
rnacentral:tRNA from 1 species